UACGGAGGGAGCUAGCGUUAUUCGGAAUUACUGGGCGUAAAGCGCACGUAGGCGGCUUUGUAAGUUAGAGGUGAAAGCCUGGAGCUCAACUCCAGAACUGCCUUUAAGACUGCAUCGCUUGAAUCCAGGAGAGGUGAGUGGAAUUCCGAGUGUAGAGGUGAAAUUCGUAGAUAUUCGGAAGAACACCAGUGGCGAAGGCGGCUCACUGGACUGGUAUUGACGCUGAGACACGAAAGCGUGGGUAGCAAACAGG
rnacentral:rRNA from 1 species